rnacentral:tRNA from 1 species
UUAAUUGAAGCCAAAAUAGAGGCAAAUUAUUGUUAAUAAUUUAAUUGAGUCCCCCCUCCAAUUGAA